AUGUGUUGUCUGAUGUGGUUGAGAUGGAUGCCGGCCAUGUUCUUGGGAGACCUUGGCAAUUUGAUGUGGAUACACAAGGGCAAGGAAAAUUCUUACUCUUUCAUCUGGAAGAAGAGAAAGAUCAUUAUUCUACCAAACAAAACUGACAGUAAUAUCUCUAAGGACGAGGGGAACAGUAUGUUAACUAUCUCCCACACCUCUAAUGAGUUUAUGGAAGACUUGAAGGAGGUAGAUUUGUGUGCCGCACUUAUUUUAAAAGGAGAAGAGCACCCGACUGUUGAAAUUCCUGCAAAGGUAUGUGGCUUAUUAGCAGAAUUUCAUAACAUACUUGGGGAGCCACAAGGCCUGCCGCCGAUGAGAGGGAUUCAACAUAGAAUCGACUUAUUUCCGGGAGCAAGUCUUCCUAAUCUUCCGCACUAUUGA
rnacentral:rRNA from 1 species